GAAAAGGUUGGGAGCUGCUAUGCUAAAUUACUCCAGAUAAUUUUUCUGCUCUUAAGUCUGCUACUGCAAAUAGUGUAUUUUUGUCAUGAUUUUUCUUGCCCAACUUCAAUGAUAGGUAUUUACUAUCUCUAUGUAAAUUUCAAAACACAAGGACAUAUACCUAGUAUGAAAAAUCAGGGAAAAUAAAAACAAGUCUAAUAUUUUUUUUAGGAAAGGAAAAAAAUAGUAAAAUAGGUUCUAAAAUUGGGUUAUGACACCCAUAAGAUUGUGAAUAAAACUUGCGCCCUUUGGACCUGAAUUUGGCAAAUAUUUAUUGGGUGCUGGAUCAGGCUGCCCACAGAAUCCAAAUGCCAAAGUUCUCCUUUGAUAACCUUUGUGCUUGCAUCAGGAGCUUUUGCAAUACUCCUAAUUUUGAAUGCUGUGCAAGGGGACUUGGCCAGGAUCGAGACCCUAACCCUAACCCCUCCCAUCCAAGAAGCCUAUUGCUUAAAUUGCCUGGAACAGCCACUAAGACAGCACAAUGCUCCCAGGCGAAGAACCAUUUUGGAAGAAGAUAGACUGAGGUUAGGGAAGAAAAAUGUUCCAGUCCUACCUGGAUCAACUUGGAUAGCAUUUUGAAGUAAAUGGGAUGAUUUCAGGAACUGUGGAGAGUGCAGAAAUUGUUGAAAUACUGUACAGCCCAAAUUCAGGGCUGAGUUCUGACAAUAGUAUGCAAGCCUGUUUGAAGUAAAUUGGAGGAUUUCAGGAACUACCGGUAUGUUGAACAAAUUGAGAUUAAAGUUGACACAGUUUUGUGCUCCAGCUCUCCUGGCGAUGAGUGGCAGUAAAGUUCCAAGACAUGUCUGUGCAAAGCAAAUCCUGCUAAAAUCUGAUUUAAUAACAUUCUGGGCAGGGUACAAAGAUUUAAGACUCCACACUGCAAUCAACACUGCAUCAGCUGAGGCAUGCAAAUGACUAUCCAGGAAAGUGAAAAAAAAAAAACCCUGAACAAAUCAUAAAAAAGCUUGAAAUAAAUUUGAUCACCCUCAAAAA